rnacentral:miRNA from 1 species
UUUAAAAUCAGUUCUUAAAUAACCAAUUUUAAAAGUAGCACUUUUAAGAUCGGUUAUUUAAGAACUGAUCUUAAA